rnacentral:misc_RNA from 1 species
GUUGCUAGGGUCCACAAUUUCGGGCCGGGCAGGCAGACUACCGGGAAAACUUCAGAACCGGAUUGAGAUUAUAAGCCACCCCACUGUUCCAUCAUUUUCAAACGUCCCAGACGUGUCCCAAGCGUCAGAAUUGGUGUAGGUAAAUCCGAAACCUAGGCUUUCUUAAUUAUCGAGUGCCUAAUUUCGAUUAAAAAUCUAUAAAAU